rnacentral:rRNA from 1 species
UACGUAGGGGGCAAGCGUUGUCCGGAAUCAUUGGGCGUAAAGCGCGUGUAGGCGGCCCGAUAAGUCCGCUGUGAAAGUCCAGGGCUCAACCCUGGGAUGCCGGUGGAUACUGUCGGGCUCGAGUCCGGAAGAGGAGUGUGGAAUUCCUGGUGUAGCGGUGAAAUGCGCAGAUAUCAGGAGGAACACCGGUGGCGAAGGCGGUUCUCUGGGCCUUACCUGACGCUGAGGAGCGAAAGCGUGGGGAGCGAACAGG